rnacentral:rRNA from 1 species
AAUAGCCUAACGGCUGAACCAGCAACUUGGAGGAAUGAAUAGCAAUUGCUAGUUGCACAGAUAUAUGAUGCAAAAUCGACUCAGUCGAAUAAAAUUCUGGGUAUAAUUAUGAUAAUGACAUUGUUUACCUAUGUGUCUUGACCAAAUUACGUGCCAGCAGUCGCGGUAAUACGUAGAAGACUAGUGUUAUUCAUCUUUAAUAGGUUUAAAGGGUACCUAGACGGUAAAUCAAGCCCUUGCAUAGCAUGACGGGACUAAUUUGCUAGAGUUACUUAUGCGGGGGUUUUAAAGUACUAAUGGUGUAGAGAUAAAAUUUUGUAAUACCAUAUUUCGAAAGAAAUGUUUUGGCACUGGUAAAGGCGAAAGCAUCCCCUUAUGUGAUAACUGACGUUGAAGGACGAAGGCUUUGGAUCGCGAAUAGGAUUAGAUACCCUAGUAGUCGAAGCAGAAAAUGAUGAGUGUCAUAGACUAGAGAUUAAACUUUAUUCUAUAAAUGAAAGUGUAAGCACUCCACCUCAAGAGUAAUUUGGCAACAUUGGAACUGAAAUCAUUAGACCGUUUCUGAAACCAGUAGUGAAGUAUGUUGUUUAAUUUGAUAAUCCGCAAAAAACCUUACCACAGCUUGAAUGUUUAUAUCAUUGAUAUAUUUACAAGCGUUGCACGGCUGUCUUCAGUUAAUGUCGUGAGACUUUGGUUAGAUCCAUUAAAUUAACGCAAGCCCUUACUUUAUUUUUAUAUAAAGUUGUUCCCCACUAUAUUGGAUAUGAUAACAGGGACUAAGACAAGUCAUCAUGGCCUGAAUGCUGUGGGCUAUAGACGUGCCACAUAGACCUUUACAAAAGGAUGUAAAAUUGUGAAAUUAAACUAAUCCCCCAAAACUGGAUAUAACUUUAAU